UACGAAGGGGGCUAGCGUUGCUCGGAAUCACUGGGCGUAAAGCGCACGUAGGCGGAUUUCUAAGUUAGGGGUGAAAUCCUGGAGCUCAACUCCAGAACUGCCUUUGAUACUGGGAAUCUUCGAGUCCGGGAGAGGUGAGUGGAACUGCGAGUGUAGAGGUGAAAUUCGUAGAUAUUCGCAAGAACACCAGUGGCGAAGGCGGCUCACUGGCCCGGUACUGACGCUGAGGCGCGAAAGCGUGGGGAGCAAACAGG
rnacentral:rRNA from 1 species